rnacentral:rRNA from 1 species
UUAAAGUUGUUGCAGUUAAAAAGCUCGUAGUUGAACCUUGGGUCUGGCUGGCCGGUCCGCCUCACCGCGAGUACUGGUCCGGCUGGACCUUUCCUUCUGGGGAAUCCCAUGGCCUUCACUGGCUGUGGGUGGAACCAGGACUUUUACUGUGAAAAAAUUAGAGUGUUCAAAGCAGGCCUUUGCUCGGAUACAUUAGCAUGGAAUAAUA